rnacentral:rRNA from 1 species
UACGUAGGGUGCAAGCGUUGCCCGGAAUUAUUGGGCGUAAAGAGCUCGUAGGCGGUUUGUCGCGUCUGGUGUGAAAAUCCAGGGCUUAACCCUGGACCUGCAUCGGGUACGGGCAGACUAGAGUGCGGUAGGGGAGAUCGGAAUUCCUGGUGUAGCGGUGAAAUGCGCAGAUAUCAGGAGGAACACCGGUGGCGAAGGCGGAUCUCUGGGCCGUAACUGACGCUGAGGAGCGAAAGCAUGGGGAGCGAACAGG